rnacentral:rRNA from 1 species
CAAACAGGAUUAGAUACCCUGGUAGUCCACGCCGUAAACGAUGUCGAUUUGGAGGUUGUGCCCUUGAGGCGUGGCUUCCGGAGCUAACGCGUUAAAUCGACCGCCUGGGGAGUACGGCCGCAAGGUUAAAACUCAAAUGAAUUGACGGGGGCCCGCACAAGCGGUGGAGCAUGUGGUUUAAUUCGAUGCAACGCGAAGAACCUUACCUGGUCUUGACAUCCACAGAACUUAGCAGAGAUGCUUUGGUGCCUUCGGGAACUGUGAGACAGGUGCUGCAUGGCUGUCGUCAGCUCGUGUUGUGAAAUGUUGGGUUAAGUCCCGCAACGAGCGCAACCCUUAUCCUUUGUUGCCAGCGGUCCGGCCGGGAACUCAAAGGAGACUGCCAGUGAUAAACUGGAGGAAGGUGGGGAUGACGUCAAGUCAUCAUGGCCCUUACGACCAGGCUA